AUGGUGCUGGCGAAGAAUGCUGGAUAUACUAUGAUCUUCCAGAUGGAUGCACUAAUAUGUCUUGGAAGAACCAGCUGGGACCUUACUCUUGGAUGCCCUAAGGUCCCCUUGGCUGCUCCAGCACAGGGCUUCCUGAAGCUCUACACCUCCUACAUCUACCUGUCCAUGUCUUACUACUUCAAUCGCCACGAUGUGGCUUUGAAGAAUUUUGCCAAAUAUUAUCUGCAUCAGUCUCAUAAGGAGUGGGAACAUGCUGAGAAACUGAUGAAGCUGCAGAACCAAUGAGGUGGUCAAACCUUCCUGCAGGAUAUCAAGAAACCAGAACGGGAGGACUGGGAGAGCGGGCUGAAAGCAAUGGAGUGUGCGCUGCAAUUGGAAAAAAACGCGAAUCAGUCGCUACUGGAGCUGCACAAACUGGCCACUGACAAGAACGACCCCCACUUGUGUGACUUCAUUGAAACGCGUUACCUGAAUGAGCAGGUGAAAUCCAUCAAAGAAUUGGGUGACUAUGUAACUAAUUUGCGCAAGAUGGGGCCCCGGCUUCUGGCCUGGCAGAAUAUCUCUUUGACAAGCACACCCUGGGAGACAGCGAUGCAGAGAGCUGA